rnacentral:tRNA from 1 species
UGCGGGAUGGAGCAGUCUGGUAGCUCGUCGGGCUCAUAACCCGAAGGUCAUCGGUUCAAAUCCGGUCCCCGCUACCA